rnacentral:lncRNA from 1 species
GUAGUGACAAGGUGCACACCAAGUCGCUUCUCUUGCUCUCCUAAAACCUUUGGACGUCCUCGUCUUUGCUUUUCUAUUUCACCACUAAUCUCCCUUCUCAGAUGAACUAGUAAAGACUGACUCAUUCCAAGUGAGUCUACAACUUUUCUUGUAGAAAUACCACUUCUAAGCUGUACCAAUGCUUGGUGCUUCAAUGAUUCACACAACCGAGGCAUAGAGAUACAAUUGACAAAUCAACUUUUAUUAUAGAUAGUACACAACAAGAGCAACACAACAAAAAA